rnacentral:misc_RNA from 1 species
UGGUAUGAUCAAAUCUCAAAGAACACAACGCAGGCCUUGAAUCUCCUGUUGUGAUGGACUGAGAAACCAAAGGAACCGAUAAAUUGCGAAGAAAACGCAAAAGGGUUUGAUCGAAAUUGAAAGAUGAUUGCUUUUCCAAAAGAAGAAAAGCAGAUGAGGAUGCUACGCUGAGACUUCUUAGAGAGAGGAUGCGAGUUGAAGAACGAAGCAUUGAGAAUAAAAAGCAGAGAAGGCCCCACUAUAUAAAGAAAUACAGUAAUUGGUGAAUCCAGAACUUGGAUGUGAACGAGUAGCUGUCGUGUGUACAGAAAUUGUGUAGAUG